CUAAUUUGGGAAUCAAAUAUACCAUACACAUUUUUAACUUCAUCUUACAAAUGAACUUAAAAACUGGAGUUUGAAAUAUGAACAGCCAAGAAAUGUCAUAUGUAGGAUCGGUUAUAAAAAAAUCUUUUGCGGCAUGAGAAAUACAUAAAUGGAUAAAAACAAUUAAAUUCAAUUUACCGGCACUCAAAGACAGAAAUAAAAAUAAAAGCGAUGGGUUCGUGGGCCCCAUCGGUCGUGGUCUAUGGGCCGAGCAGAUUACACCAGGUUACCCGCGAUAGGCUAGAGCCCACUUGAAGGGGAGCCACGGCAUGGGUCGGCCGGGCCGGGCACCUCUGCGAAGCGAAACCCUAACCACCAGCGAAGAGACCUUCCCCACGCCGCCACCUCCCGUCUCAACAGUGAUCACUGAUGGGAAAUCCCCUCCUAUACACCCAUAGAAUCUGAGCACCAACAAACAAUCUUUUCUCGGAUUCCUCUGAUCGAAGCAUGAAGAUGCACCGCGCAUGCAAAAUCUGUGGAGAAAUAGGACACACUGAUAAGGAACACCAAGAUGGAUGCCCCUAUUGUGAAGCGAGUCACUUGGGUGAAGAAUGUCCCACUACGCGAGUCACCUGUUUCAUGUGUGAAGGGACUAACCACAAUCCAGCCCAGUGUCGUCUACUCACCACGACACAAGAAGUGGUUCAGCAACAGAGGAAAGGAAUGAAGAAGGCUGUCCAGGAAAUCAUCAUGAAGAGAAGGGCUUUAGUUACUUGCCAUAAGUGUAGGAGCAAGGGGCACUACGCCAGCGUGUGUCCAGAAGUGAUAACAGAGAGAGAAAGAUGGGCGCGCUACUCCAGCCCGUGUCCAGAAAAGAAAAGAGGGAGAGGGAGAUGGGAAGCUUGGAGCAAACAAGCGCCAUGACUUGUCAGUAGUAAUUUGUUUGAUAUUUUCCUUUGUGUAAGAAUUCAUUCAGUAACUAUUCCAAGGGAGCUAAUGUUAGUUAUUGGAGGAUAGCUAUCUGAGGCAAGCAAUAAGGGUAUUAGGAGACCUUUUAGGUUAUCUUGGAGAUGUUGGGUUGAGACGUGCAAUGGCCAUGGACGAGAGACUUUACACUUCCUGUGUUGUGA